rnacentral:rRNA from 1 species
UACAGAGGUCCCAAGCGUUGUUCGGAUUCACUGGGCGUAAAGGGUGCGUAGGUGGGUUGGUAAGUCAGUGGUGAAAUCUCCGUGCUUAACAUGGAAACUGCCAUUGAUACUACUGAUCUUGAAUUUUCUGGAGGUAAGCGGAAUAUGUCAUGUAGCGGUGAAAUGCUUAGAUAUGACAUAGAACACCAAUUGCGAAGGCAGCUUGCUACAGGGAUAUUGACACUGAGGCACGAAAGCGUGGGGAUCAAACAGG